AUGUCCGCAACCAGCAGACCAUGGGGCUCAGAAGGAGCUCCAGAAGGAGCUUCAGGAGCAGAUGUCCUGCGGUGACCCAUUCAAGGACAUAAUUUUAUAUGUCAAGGAGGAGAUGAAAAAAAUAACAUCCCAGAACCAGUGGUCAUUUGGGACAGUGUGGUCAAGUGUGAUGAGCACCGUGGAGUGGAACAAAAAAGAGGAGCUUGAGCAGAACAAGCCAUCAAGCACUUGAAGCAAUACAGCCCUCUACUUGCUGCCUUCACUACUCAAGGUCAGUCUGAGCUGACUCUGUUACUGAAGAUUCAGGAGUAUUGCUAUGACAAUAUUCACUUCAUGAAAGCCUUCCAGAGAAUAGUGGUGCUCUUUUAUAAAGAUGAGGUCCUGAGUGAGGAGCCCAUUCUGGAGUGGUAUAAAGACGCACAUGUUGCAAAGGGGAAAAGCGCCUUCCUUGAGCAAAUGAAGAAGUUUGUAGAAUGGCUCAAAAGUGCAGAGGAGGAAUCUGAGUCGGAAGCUGAAGAAGGUGACUGAAUUUUGAAACAACAUCCUCAGUAAAGCAAACAGGAGUUGUAGAUAAAA
rnacentral:lncRNA from 1 species